rnacentral:rRNA from 1 species
UACGUAGGGUGCGAGCGUUGUCCGGAAUUAUUGGGCGUAAAGAGCUUGUAGGUGGUUUGUCGCGUCUGCUGUGAAAAUCCGAGGCUCAACCUCGGACUUGCAGUGGGUACGGGCAGACUAGAGUGUGGUAGGGGAGACUGGAAUUCCUGGUGUAGCGGUGAAAUGCGCAGAUAUCAGGAGGAACACCGAUGGCGAAGGCAGGUCUCUGGGCCACUACUGACGCUGGAGAAGCGAAAAGCGUGGGGAGCGAACAGG